AUUGAACGCUGGCGGCAUGCCUUACACAUGCAAGUCGAACGGCAGCACGGGAGUAAUCCUGGUGGCGAGUGGCGAACGGGUGAGUAAUAUAUCGGAACGUGCCCAGUCGUGGGGGAUAACGCAGCGAAAGCUGUGCUAAUACCGCAUACGAUCUAAGGAUGAAAGCGGGGGAUCGCAAGACCUCGCGCGAUUGGAGCGGCCGAUAUCAGAUUAGCUAGUUGGUGGGGUAAAGGCCCACCAAGGCGACGAUCUGUAGCUGGUCUGAGAGGACGACCAGCCACACUGGAACUGAGACACGGUCCAGACUCCUACGGGAGGCAGCAGUGGGGAAUUUUGGACAAUGGGCGCAAGCCUGAUCCAGCAAUGCCGCGUGCAGGAUGAAGGCCUUCGGGUUGUAAACUGCUUUUGUACGGAACGAAACGGCCCUUUCUAAUACAGGGGGCUAAUGACGGUACCGUAAGAAUAAGCACCGGCUAACUACGUGCCAGCCGCCGCAGUAAAAC
rnacentral:rRNA from 1 species